rnacentral:rRNA from 1 species
CCUACGGGGGGCAGCAGUGAGGAAUAUUGGUCAAUGGACGAGAGUCUGAACCAGCCAAGUAGCGUGAAGGAUGACUGCCCUAUGGGUUGUAAACUUCUUUUAUAUGGGAAUAAAAUGUUCCACGUGUGGGAUUUUGUAUGUACCAUAUGAAUAAGGAUCGGCUAACUCCGUGCCAGCAGCCGCGGUAAUACGGAGGAUCCGAGCGUUAUCCGGAUUUAUUGGGUUUAAAGGGAGCGUAGGUGGAUUGUUAAGUCAGUUGUGAAAGUUUGCGGCUCAACCGUAAAAUUGCAGUUGAAACUGGCAGUCUUGAGUACAGUAGAGGUGGGCGGAAUUCGUGGUGUAGCGGUGAAAUGCUUAGAUAUCACGAAGGACUCCGAUUGCGAAGGCAGUUCACUGGACUGCAACUGACACUGAGGCUCGAAAGUGUGGGUAUCAAACAGGAUUAGAUACCCGAGUAGUC